GGGCGCUUGGUCUAGGGGUAUGAUUUUCGCUUCGCGUUUCGGACUGUUCCGGACGUGGAUUGUGAAAGGUCGUGGGUUCAAUUCCCACAGUGUCCA